rnacentral:rRNA from 1 species
UACGGGGGGAGCAAGCGUUGUUCGGAUUUACUGGGCGUAAAGGGCGCGUAGGCGGCGUGACAAGUCACUUGUGAAAUCUCCGGGCUUAACCCGGAGCGGCCAAGUGAUACUGUCGUGCUAGAGUGCGGAAGGGGCUACUGGAAUUCUCGGUGUAGCGGUGAAAUGCGUAGAUAUCGAGAGGAACACCAGUGGCGAAGGCGGCUUACUGGACCGGAACUGACGCUGAGGCGCGAAAGCGUGGGGAGCAAACGGG